rnacentral:tRNA from 1 species
GGGGAUGUGGUCUAGAGGUAUGAUUUUCCUUUCGCAAUAAUUUGAGAAUAGGAAAGGUCCGGGGUUCAAUUCCCCGCGUCUCCA